rnacentral:rRNA from 1 species
ACGAUGGAUACUAGAUGUUCGGGGAUUCGACCCCCUGGGUGUCACAGCUAACGCGUUAAGUAUCCCGCCUGGGAAGUACGGCCGCAAGGCUAAAACUCAAAGGAAUAGACGGGGAUCCGCACAAGCGCUGGAGCGUCUGGUUUAAUUUGAUAGUAAGCAAUGGACCUCACCAAGGUUUGACAUCCUAUGACAACCCUGGAAACAGGGCUUCCUUCGGGCAUAGUGACAGGUGCUGCAUGGUCGUCGUCAGUUCGUGCCGUGAGGUGUUCCGUUAAGUCGGGAAACGAACGAAACCCUCGUCGCAUGUUACAAAUUUCAUGCGAGACUGCCCGGGUCAACCGGGAGGAAGGCGGGGAUGACGUCAGAUCAGCAUGGCCCUUAUACCUUGGGCUACACAGGCGCUACAAUGUCCGCUACCAAAGGGUUGCAGUACCGCGAGGUGAAGCUAAUCCCAUAAAGCCGGUCCAAGUUCGGAUUGGAGGCUGCAACUCGCCUCCAUGAAGUUGGAAUCGCUAGUAAUCGUGGAUCAGCCAUACCACGGUGAAUACGUUCCCGGAUCUUGUACUCACCGCCCAGUCACACCAAGAGAGUUGGUAGC